GAGGGUAUUGCUCAGUGGCAGAGCAUUCGACUGUAGAUCGAAAGGUCCUCGGUUCAAACCCGGCUGUUCUCU